AUGGCUGAAUUACAAGAGGAGAAGCGCGCCAUGGAACGGGAUUUGCAGCUAAGCCAGCCUAAGCCAGGCACCAGCCCUUCCCUGAUGUCGAAACAUCUUGGGAGUAGCAGCUACCAGCCGCAAUUCAGUGGCUUAAGAGGUUCAGCAAAAGGACCAAGCUUUGGAGAGAUCAGUCCUGCUUCUUCACCAACUCUCAGAGACCAGACUUCUCCUUUAUGCCAUCAGGCACUACCCCGGCGGGGCCACUCAGCACGAGGGUCCUAUGGAUGGUCGCAGCGGGAUGGUGAGGAACCCAACCAAGCCAGGAAGGACAAUGAUGUUCUGUUGCCCAGACCUGUGCUGCCAGUGCCUCUGAAAGGGGGCAGGAUUGCUUCAGCCUGCGGGCUGGCAGUAGCAGGGUUGGACCAUGUCUUCCACCCCACGCCUCCUACAGAGCCAUGCCCAGUGCCCCGCUUCUGCCCUCGCACUCGGCUGCUGCGAUGCAAAGGACCCAGCUAGGGAAUGGAGAGCUGCCGCCUUCCCUUAAGUACCUCAAUUCCCGCUCCCCUGCUGCAGGGUCUCCAAGGGACCCAGCCCUGCAGCAUCCUGUGCCUCAAGAGUUGCUGCUGUUGCCUUUUGCUCAUCCUUGUGAACAGGGUCAAUGGGAUUCCAGGGAAAGUGAAAAGGCAAAGAAAUGCAUACACACAACCUCCCCAACCCAUGAAUGCAGAUAAACUACUUGCAAGUGGGACCUAUGCCAGUGAGAUGCUCUUCUCCUCCUUCCACAACACAGGGCAGUGGGCCUUGUGGCAGUGAGGCUGUGAACCCAACCCACACCAUCCCCAUUCCUCCACGCACCCCAAAGAACUGUACCACCCAAGGUUCAGGAAUAUAAAUUUCAUUAAAAUCUAUCAGACUUUAAAAAUCUACAACUGGAAGAGUCACAGUAUGGGAGACGCGUCACAAUUAUUGCUAUGAACAAUGAGGCGGCAAUGCUAGCUGCCGCCUUGGAUACAGGAGGAAAGGACAGACACGGAACCAUGCAUUAAAUAGUGCAGCCUCGGCACAGAGGAGGGAAGGUCUGGGGGCUGGUGGCUUAGGGCAAAAGUACCAUCAUGGCAUGGAGCCAUCUGUCCCCCCUCUCCCUCUUAACUGCUCACGAUGCAGACGUUUGGCACUUGAACGCUGGCUGCUAUGCCCAUGCCACUGGCUGGAACAGGUACCACGUGGGUAGGAGCCAGGUGUGCCCUUGCUGUUGGCACCAUGGCUACACCGCAGCAAUCGUGCACGGCUGGGAGCUGAGGGGCGCCCCCCCCGACAUGCACUGUUUGGCAUUGGUUAAGUGAAUUGGCAUCAGGGUACAAGACAGGAUUGUGGCUGCCAGGGUCUCCUGUCUCCUCCACCCAGGCGUUUCUAGGGGGUAAAGUGCAGGCAGCAACACUGACAUGGAAACACGGGACGGUGAGGCCGAAAGACGGAACCAUUAGUACCUCCUACCCAUCUGAGGCAGCACAGGCCCUGCUUUGUGUUAGGGAGAAAAGCCUUGGAGUUGGAGACGGGGCUGGUGCCUAUGGCCAACUUCUCCAAAGCUUCACCAUGAAGCUAGCAGCUUCUGCCCCCACUACUAGUGGAGAAGUGGGCCACAUGGAACCCAGGCCUGGCCAGGAUAGCCUUUAGGGAAGCUUGUGCUUUUGCUCUGUGUGUGUGUGUGUGUGUCUUUCCCACCUGCAAUGGUGUGGGCAGGACUUGGCACAUCAUCUGCUCUUAGCACCAUGGUUGGCCCUGUCCCUUUCCCUGUGGGAUAGGGCAGAGCUAGGUCCCAAUGGUCUCUUGCCUUUAUGGAGACCCCAUUCAAAUUAAUUUAUUCCUCUUAGGGGAAGAGUGUAGAAAAGUGCUUCAGAAUAACAGGCUUGGGGGAGCAUCCGGAAGAUGCUGUCUAGACCAAGAAUGCACACAUGGGCAAAAUCUGUCCAGUGGGCUGCAUGUGCUGCCCAGAGUCUGUGGCGCUGCCCGAGAUGUCUAUCAUGGUAAUACGGUGCAUCCAGCCUCUCAGCUGUCGCUUUUUCUAUUUGUGAGAGAUGCUGUUUGCUUAUGUUUCACUCUGCAGGUGUGCGAUUCUGGAUGGUGUGCAAAUAAGGCUCAAUAUUAAGAUCAGAAGGGAGACAAGUGCAUAUUUUUGUUCAUGGAGUUGUGAUUCUCCCAUGCUCUUGCAACCCAAUUAAGGAGAGCUCUCCUGCCCCCUACCCACCCACCCCAGUCAUUAACCUGCCAAAUUCAAUACAUAGUUUCUAGCAGGAACGUUUCUUAUCAUGGGAGGCCAUGGCGAGAAGUGCAAAUUGUUAAGUGCUGGGGAAGCUAGCUUUCCUUUCCUAGGUGGGGAAGCUGGGAAGGUCUGUGCAGUGGUUGGGGGGGGAGGUGCAGUCUUAAGUGCAUCUCUGGAAAAGCCCUCGCAGGGGCAGCAGCCUAGCUGAAGGCUGCCUAGCCUGUGGCCAAGCGAUGCCUAGAAUGUCAGGAUUAACAUUUACAAUUACAACCAACCCUCUUGCCCUCCCCCUCCCCCCACCCCAACCCCCAUUUGCUUAUCUGUGGGGCCAGUCCCCAGGGCCCUGAUCCAGGGCAGUAUGGGGCAUACCACCCCCAAUAGAUACCAGACCCCCUGGGCCCAGGUGCAGCUGCCAGAAUCCACCCCCAAAGGGGCUGCUGAGCCAGCGAGGCUCCAACCGACCCUCCUCCUGGUGCCCUUUCCCAAGGCACCCCCAACGGUUCAGCCAGUGCACACCCUCCCCACCCCUGACCCUGGUCCUGGUUGCGAAUUGGGGCCAUCCGAACGUGACUGUAAACAUGAGGGUUACAAGAUGGCACGGGGGGGCACUAAUGAGGUGGGUGGGGUUGGAACUCACAGCCCCUCCCCCAGAGUCUGGCGCAGCCCGGGAGCCAGGGCUCCCCCACCCAGUGGGGGGGCGCUGUCAUAUAUCUGAGCAGAGUAGGGUUUGGAGAACCAGGGCAGGUGGGAGAGGGGAGGUGCAAGGAGGGCUCCCUGC
ensembl:lncRNA